rnacentral:rRNA from 1 species
UACGUAGGAGGCGAGCGUUGUCCGGAUUUACUGGGCGUAAAGCGCGUGUAGGCGGUUCGAUUAGUCUGCUGUGAAAGCUCCCCGCUUAACGAGGAGAGGUCGGUGGAUACUGUCGGACUUGAGGACGGUAGAGGGGGGUGGAAUUCCCGGUGUAGCGGUGGAAUGCGCAGAUAUCAGGAGGAAUACCGAUGGCGAAGGCAGGUCUCUGGGCCAAUACUGACGCUCAUGCACGAAAGCGUGGGGAGCAAACAGG